UACAGUUUUUGUCUCCUGUUUUUUAUUUAUUUGGAUGAAUGAAACACUUUCAGUUACAAAAAUGACGUUAAAUGAACAACACUGUACUAUGAACAAGCAGAGAUAUUUUUCUUGUUUUUUGUUUUUGUUUUAAAGAUAAACACAGUAAAAGGCUAAGUUGCUACCACAAGGAAGAAGGGAGGGAGAGACAGAGAGAAGGGAGAGAAAAGAGGAGGACUGCUCACAUGAUGUAAGACACAUGAUGGUAGAACAAAUGAUGGGAGCGAGGAUAAGGAUACACACACACACCAAAAUGGAUAGGGAAACAAACAACAAAGGUUGAAGGUCAGACAGAGGGAAAUUAACUACAUGGUGACUAACAGUAAAUCCCCAAUCAAGCCAAUGUUUACAAACCUGUUGCUUAUCUAACAGAUGAAAUACAUUUUGAGGCGAGCGCACACACACACACACACACACACACACACACACACACACACACACACACACACACACACACACACACACACACACACACACACACACACACACACACACACACACACACACACACACACACACACACACACACACACACACACACACACACACCUACACCUUGGGGACUUAUUUCCACAGAACAGUUAUAGCAGUUAUGACAGUUUUCCCUCCUCCCUCCGUUUAUUAACCCCUCCCCACAAACCACCAAAGAAGUCUGGAAUUCCCUGGGAAAACUCUCCUUAACGACUCGUACAGAAUUCUCCCACAAACAUCACAUUUUCGGUUGAAACAUGUAGCUUUUCCCUCUGCCCAAUGAACACAGAGGACAACAUGGAAUACAAACAGACAUACAGGAAUACAGACAGUGGUAAGGGACAGACAGACAGAACUAAAAGGACAGGGUCAACAAACCCCGAGAGGAUCAUGGGAUCAUCAGAAUUACUCUGGCAGCACGAGCAAAAAGGACGAAUCUCAAAAAAGAUCAGAACAACUACAGAGAUACCAAGAGAAACGUCAUUAUCGUCAUCAUCAUAUUUACGAGAAGCUUAAGGUAAUUUUCCAAUGACAAAUACUUAAAAAUAUACAUUUUUAUCAUUAUCUUAAUCAUCAUUAUUAUCAUCAUUGAUAUAGCUGAGGUCAGAAACUGGGUUACUAGGUGACGGGGUUGGAGCAGAAAAGAUAUGAAUAGACAGAAAUGAGAGAAAGAAAGAGGGAUGCAGUGGCUGUCUGUGAAAGAGGAGGAAUGUCGAACUCUUUGGUUUUAUUCUGUAGGAUCGGACUUUGCUGUCUUGCUUAAGGAACUUUGGACUGAAGCUGUAUUGUACAAGAGAGAGAAUGAAGACAGAAGAAAGGAUGAAAGAGAGGGAGUGUGGAAGUGAGUAGGUACGAGGAAUAUCAGUCAUCCUCCUUUUUUGUUUCUUUGCUCCUGAUAUUGUCUUUUUGUCCCCCUUUGCUUUCUCCUGCCUUGACAUCUACACAAUGUUCUGUCAUCUAUCAGUAAACUGUUAAUCAUUGCCUGUUCUGCUCCAAUUUAAAUCAAUUCCAGCCUGGUCUCAUACCAAACGUAACAUGUACUAAUUACACUGUCUCGGAUUUACAUUUACUAUGUUACGUCUAUCCUUGAGUCCAGGUUGCAAUAUCGAUUCCUACAUUUCACAGUUUCCUUUGUUUCUCAUUUGACACGGUUGCUAAGGUGUUUCACUGAGACUACAAGGAAUUAAUCCAUUAACUGAAUCAAUGUUGUGAUGUUCAGACUGUACAAAUGUACAAAAUGGUUAAUGCCAAAGAUGUCUGGAGAUGUUCUUCCAGACUAAACUCUGCUGUGAUAAUGUUGACCCAGGCUAUAGUAAAGGGAGUAGGAUUUGUUGCCUCUAGGUGCUGAUCUAACGUCAGUUUUGUGUUCUCCCUACACUAAUAGCUAUGAUUAGGGAAAGGUUAACAGAUCCUAGAUCUGCACCUAUGGCCAGGUGACUACUCUAGUCUAUAGGAGAGGUGUAGUCUCUGAAUGGACAAAUCACAUUUUAUUGGUCGCGUACACAUAUUUUGCAGAUGUUAUCGCGGGUGUAGCGAAAUGCUUAUGUUCCUAGCUCCAACAGUGCAGACACUGGUAAACAGCAGGGUUUUAGGGAGUGAGUGCAUGGUGCCGUAUCCAACAGUGGGGCAUAAACUUUGGUAUCAUUCUCUUGUGGGGGUAUCCCUACUGGAAGGACUUACACUUUACAUGUGAUCCCUAAGACCCUGAGAUCCACAGAAGCAUCCUACCAGGAUGAAGAGGACCUAAACUGAUCUACACCUCAUUACAGAAGGAAAGAGCAAGGGAGAAAUAGGGACUUCCACCUUGGGGGAGUGUAUGCAUGCGUCACCUAGCAACCACAGUCUCAGCCCUAUCCCCAGUCACCUACCCCUCUGCGCUCGCUGCCACACACAUCUCUGACGGACACAAAAUCCAGUCAAUAAUCUAAACAACACAACAUCCAGCCAAUCACCUAAAGAUGCUGGGUACCCAGAGGCUAGCCCCUGUAAAAAAGCUUUGUGUUAAGGAGUAGGACAAAGCUGCUCCAUAGACACUGACCUAAGGCCAGUGUUAUGUGCCCUCAAUGGUUAAGAUUAGGAUUUGGAGGAAGGUAAACUGAUCCUAGAUCUGUGUCUAAGGAAAACGUAUACUUGGAGAGUGUUUCGUUUCAGCAGGGAGGGAGCAGUAGGGGAGAGGGGGAUGGAGAGAGGGCUGUACAGAGCAGGUGGGUUGUUCUACAGACCAGACUGAGAGGGAGGUGUGUGGGGGAGUGGACUGGGAACCACAGCGAGAGGGCUGGCAUACAACUUGCUACCCAAAAUGUCUCCUAUUUGGAUGGGGCACAAGAAAUGUGAACUCUGACCCCAUUACCUUUGAACUCUGCCGGACCCAAGCCUCGCUCUGGCCAUUCAUGGUCACACUCACACGUACACACAGUCCCACCCCACACCCCGAUCCCCAAACAAACCCCGCUUUUUUUGUAAAGCUUUCAUCUAUUUGGUUUAUCAUCAGAGUAUAUGAGGUAUAUCUCUCUUUAACAUCCUACAGUAGAUGUGGGAAACAAAACCUACCAACAUUAAGAAAAGUCCAAACAGAAAGAAAAGAAAACAAGUCCCUCUGUCACGUUCCUUUGCCCCAGUCAAUGCAUCUUCUGACUCGUUUUUUGGUUUGGUAGCUGUUUAAAGCUUUCAGUGUAUUUCUCAUGAGGAGAGGAGAGGUUGUGAGGGAACAGCACUGUAUCUUUAAGAACAAUCUGCCUACCUGACCAUCCCUGUCAGCGCAGCUCUCUUCCAGAACCGUUGGGCUAUAUUCAAACAUACAUUAUACUAGCUUAUAGGCAGCGCUGACUACGUGUACAUCCGGGAUAUAAUCCCUCUAACCUGAUCCGUCCAAAGUAUAUGGUAUACAUCGUAAUAGGAACAAACUCCAGUUCUAAAGAUUUGAGAUUUAUUAAUACAAUGUUUUAAAAGUUUCACUCAUGACUGGUUUGAUCCCACCUGGGUGUGGGUCUCCAGUAACAAUCCUGGACUGUAGUAAGGCUGUAGAGAACCCUACUGAGGCUCCCUAUCCCCCCUUCAACUAUACACAACAUCACAAGACCGCACAUAAAGCCAGAAACACUCAGAUGCUCUGUCCCUCCUCAUCUCACCAGUCAUUACUCAUCAAUCAUACAAUAAGGACAUCACUAGUAAUAUCAUUAUCAUGAGGACAAUUAACCCCAUAUUUAGGAAAGACAGCAUUCAACACCUGAAAACAUUGAAUUGCUCAAAUUUACAUCAAUAUGAAGCUGACGUUCCUAUUCCCAUGACCUUGCCCUGCAAUGCCUGAGAAAAUGCUGUUAGGUGGUCAUACUGAAGUGCUCUAUGUAGACACAGUGCUGACCCCUGUAAGCUCACCCCAUCCAUUUGAAAAGAGUCUCAAUGAGCUCACCCCCACCCCUUUAAGAGCUUUAAGAGUAGUCGCAGUGAGUCUGUGGUCAAACAUGACCAUGUUCUCCUAGGCCCCGUGAGACCUGUGGUUGCAUGUAUCUGGUUUGAAGAGGUGAGAAGGUACUUCAGCAGGAUUUUUGGUCACAGCCCCGUAAUAUAUAUUCUAAAUAUAUACCCCAAAAUUUAUCCCCUGUAAAAAGACUCUAGAAUAAAUAAAUAACAAAUAAAUAGUUAGAAGAAAUCAAUAUAAGCUUAAAUCAAUCAAACUUAAAAGGAAUAAAUAGUACAAUCAAUCAAAAGUCCUAAAUGAUUCGACAAAGAAAAAUAAACCAUAUAUUUAUCAAGAGAGAGUAACAUUUUUGGUCUAAAAUCAAGUCAUUAUCAUCAAUGUUUUUUAAGAUAUUUUUUGUAUGUUUUUCAAUACAUUAGCAAUAAGUAAGCAUUAGGACACAGAUCUUUGUUUCUACAAAAUCUAUAGAAGCACUAACAGAUACAUUCCGUCUAAGAGUUAAUGUUGAGGAAAGGUUUCACCUCGUGGUUAGAACCCCCACAUCUAAAAUAGAUUAGUUCAUUAAGGAUUCUCAUUUGACAACUGUAUUUCUGUGUGUCAAACCAAAUACUCUUUGGAUGCAUUUUAAACUCGACUGUACAUUUUUGCCGAAGUGUGUGUGUGUGAUAAUGGCGGUAAACGUGCAAGGGAGGACAUCUUUGUAAACUCCACUGAAUUCUUUCUAUAAUGCGUGUGCACACAACACACACACACACAAUAUCGCACCCUCACACAACGCACAUACGCACACACUUCAGAUCAAUUGACACAAUCAUAAGUGUGAGCCCUAAUGCAACGGCAGGGACGGCAGUUGAACCAUCUCUAGUUUUAUCCUGCCUUUUUGGUUUGGUUUGGUAUUUGGUAUUUGGUAUUUGGUGUUUGGUAUUUGGUUUGGUAUUUGGUGUUUGGUUUGGUGUUUGGUUUGGUGUUUGGUUUGGUGUUUGGUCUUUGGUUUGGUUUGGUGUUUGGUGUUUGGUUUGGUGUUUGGUGUUUGGUUUGGUUUGGUAUUUGGUGUUUGGUUUGGUAUUUGGUGUUUGGUUUGGUAUUUGGUGUUUGGUUUGGUAUUUGGUUUGGUAUUUGGUGUUUGGUUUGGUAUUUGUUUUGGUGUUUGGUUUGGUAUUUGGUUUGGUAUUUGGUGUUUGGUUUGGUUUGGUAUUUGGUGUUUGGUUUGGUUUGGUAUUUGGUGUUUGGUUUGGUAUUUGGUGUUUGGUUUGGUUUGGUAUUUGGUGUUUGGUUUGGUGUUUGGUUUGGUGUUUGGUUUGGUGUUUGGUAUUUGGUGUUUGUUUUGGUAUUUGGUGUUUGGUUUGGUUUGGUAUUUGGUGUUUGGUUUGGUAUUUGGUGUUUGGUUUGGUAUUUGGUGUUUGGUUUGGUGUUUGGUUUGGUAUUUGGUGUUUGGUUUGGUGUUUGGUGUUUGGUUUGGUGUUUGGUUUGGUUUGGUAUUUGGUUUGGUUUGGUGUUUGGU
ensembl:lncRNA